rfam:Glycine soja cultivar W05 scaffold2667_3, whole genome shotgun sequence.
UUCUUAUUGGAUGAUGAAUGUCAUGUGUCAUGUUUUGAUUGGAUAAUGACAACAAUAAUGCAUUUUAUUUUUCAUGAAUUUGAUAUUCAAUCAUAACAUAACACGUGACACUCAUCUAAU